CAGUCGCCGCGGGAAUACGUAGGGUGCAAGCGUUAAUCGGAAUUACUGGGCGUAAAGCGUGCGCAGGCGGUUUGUUAAGACAGAUGUGAAAUCCCCGGGCUCAACCUGGGAACUGCAUUUGUGACUGGCAAGCUAGAGUGUGGCAGAGGGGGGUGGAAUUCCGCGUGUAGCAGUGAAAUGCGUAGAUAUGCGGAGGAACACCGAUGGCGAAGGCAGCCCCCUGGGCCAACACUGACGCUCAUGCACGAAAGCGUGGGGAGCAAACAGGAUUAGAUACCCCCGUAGUCCCUGUCUCUUAUAC
rnacentral:rRNA from 1 species